GCAUUUUUCUUUUCUUCAACUUUGGUUAUUGUAAAAUUGGUCUUAAAUUUAAUUCCGUGUGGCAUCUAACUUGUUUGCUUUAUACUGUGCUUUGCUGCAGCAUACAGCUCAUUCACAAGUGGCGCCAGUCUGAUUUGGGGACUGGCUGCUUCUCACCCUUUCCUGCCGCCAGUGUAAAAUUUUCUUCCUGGAAGCCAGAGGGGCCACAACAGAAAACGUUCCACAUGGUACAUCCUUGCCCACAUGUUCCAUGAUGAUGUUGGGAAGAGGAUAAAUUGGAAAGGCAUCACUAUGCAACACUCUAUGCCAGAUGGCAUUGUAGACGUUGCUCCUGUAUGCUGUGAGAGAGUCAUCUCUCCCGCGCUGCCACAGAUGAUAUCCUAAAGCAGAAAAUAUGCUGUUUCAACCUGGCAGCAGAGAGAGAAAGAAGCUCAAGGUGUGCCUCUAUCAGCAUCCUUAUGGAAGAUCAGCCCACUGUUAAUUCACCUUAAAAAAAGUAUUUUGGUAUGUAGG